rnacentral:rRNA from 1 species
GAUGAACGCUGGCGGCGUGCCUAAUACAUGCAAGUCGAGCGAACAGACGAGGAGCUUGCUCCUCUGACGUUAGCGGCGGACGGGUGAGUAACACGUGGAUAACCUACCUAUAAGACUGGGAUAACUUCGGGAAACCGGAGCUAAUACCGGAUAAUAUAUUGAACCGCAUGGUUCAAUAGUGAAAGACGGUUUUGCUGUCACUUAUAGAUGGAUCCGCGCCGCAUUAGCUAGUUGGUAAGGUAACGGCUCACCAAGGCGACGAUGCGUAGCCGACCUGAGAGGGGGAUCGGCCACACUGGAACUGAGACACGGUCCAGACUCCUACGGGAGGCAGCAGUAGGGAAUCUUCCGCAAUGGGCGAAAGCCUGACGGAGCAACGCCGCGUGAGUGAUGAAGGUCUUCGGAUCGUAAAACUCUGUUAUUAGGGAAGAACAAAUGUGUAAGUAACUAUGCACGUCUUGACGGUACCUAAUCAGAAAGCCACGGCUAACUACGUG